UACGUAGGGUGCAAGCGUUAUCCGGAAUUAUUGGGCGUAAAGAGCUCGUAGGCGGUUUGUCACGUCUGCUGUGAAAUCCCGAGGCUCAACCUCGGGCCUGCAGUGGGUACGGGCAGACUGGAGUGCGGUAGGGGAGAAUGGAAUUCCUGGUGUAGCGGUGGAAUGCGCAGAUAUCAGGAGGAACACCGAUGGCGAAGGCAGUUCUCUGGGCCGUAACUGACGCUGAGGAGCGAAAGCGUGGGGAGCGAACAGG
rnacentral:rRNA from 1 species